rnacentral:tRNA from 1 species
CAUUAAAUAUCUAAAAAUAAGAGAUGGUCUCUUAAACCAUUUAUAGUAAUUAAUUAUUACUUUUAAUGA